rnacentral:rRNA from 1 species
CCUACGGGGGGCUGCAGUGGGGAAUAUUGGACAAUGGGGGGAACCCUGAUCCAGCCAUGCCGCGUGUGUGAAGAAGGCCCUCGGGUUGUAAAGCACUUUCAGUGAGGAAGAACGCCUGGUGGUUAAUACCCAUCAGGAAAGACAUCACUCACAGAAGAAGCACCGGCUAACUCCGUGCCAGCAGCCGCGGUAAUACGGAGGGUGCGAGCGUUAAUCGGAAUUACUGGGCGUAAAGCGCGCGUAGGUGGCUUGAUAAGCCGGUUGUGAAAGCCCCGGGCUCAACCUGGGAACGGCAUCCGGAACUGUCAAGCUAGAGUGCAGGAGAGGAAGGUAGAAUUCCCGGUGUAGCGGUGAAAUGCGUAGAGAUCGGGAGGAAUACCAGUGGCGAAGGCGGCCUUCUGGACUGACACUGACACUGAGGUGCGAAAGCGUGGGUAGCAAACAGGAUUAGAUCCCCUGUAGUC